GACGAACGCUGGCGGCGUGCCUAAUACAUGCAAGUUGAGCGCUGAAGGUUGGUACUUGUACCGACUGGAUGAGCAGCGAACGGGUGAGUAACGCGUGGGGAAUCUGCCUUUGAGCGGGGGACAACAUUUGGAAACGAAUGCUAAUACCGCAUAAAAACUUUAAACACAAGUUUUAAGUUUGAAAGAUGCAAUUGCAUCACUCAAAGAUGAUCCCGCGUUGUAUUAGCUAGUUGGUGAGGUAAAGGCUCACCAAGGCGAUGAUACAUAGCCGACCUGAGAGGGGGAUCGGCCACAUUGGGACUGAGACACGGCCCAAACUCCUACGGGAGGCAGCAGUAGGGGAUCUUCGGCAAUGGACGAAAGUCUGACCGAGCAACGCCGCGUGAGUGAAGAAGGUUUUCGGAUCGUAAAACUCUGUUGGUAGAGAAGAACGUUGGUGAGAGUGGAAAGCUCAUCAAGUGACGGUAACUACCCAGAAAGGGACGGCUAACUACGUG
rnacentral:rRNA from 1 species